rnacentral:rRNA from 1 species
UACGAGUAUAAACUUAAAAUUUAAAAGACUUGACGGUACCUCACAACAACCUAGAGGAGCCUGUCUAAUAACCGAUACCCCACGAUUAAACCCAACCCCCCCUAGCCACAGUCUAUAUACCGCCGUCGCCAGCCUACCUUGUAAAAGAAACAAAGUAAGCCCAAUAGUAACACACUAGCACGACAGGUCGAGGUGUAACUUAUGGGCGGGCUAAGAUGGGCUACAUUUUCUAUUACAGAAAAUACGAAUAGACUAUGAAACAAGAAACUGAAGGCGGAUUUAGCAGUAAACUAAGAAUAAAAUACCUAGUCGAAACCAACGCAAUGAGGUGCGUACACACCGCCCGUCAUCCCUGCUAACCACCACAAACACUACAUAAUAUAAUGUUAAACCAUAAAACAGGGCAAGUC